UUAUUAAUACCCCCAAAAACACCCAAUAUUAAUUAAACAAACCAUUUUUCCCCCUAAGUAUGGGCGACAGAAAAGGAACAUUUAGAGCUAUAGAAAAAGUACCGCAAGGGAAUACUGAAAAAGAAGUGAAACAACUCAGUAAAGUUUAAAAAAGCAAAGAUUCAUCCUUGUACCUUUUGCAUCAUGAUUUAGUCAGUAAAAACAAGCAAAAGGCACUUUAGUUUGAUUUCCCGAAACUAAGUGAGCUACUCCAAGACAGCCUAAAAUAGGGCUAACCCGUCUCUGUGGCAAAAGAGUGGGGUGAGCUUAGAGUAGAGGUGAUAAGCCUACCGAACUUAGUUAUAGCUGGUUGCCUGAGAAAUGAAUAGAAGUUCAGCUUUUUGGUUUCUCCCUCCAACCUGCUUAGCAAUAACGAACCAAAGAAGCCAAAAAAGUUAAUUAAAGGGGGUACAGCUCCUUUAAACAAGAUACAACUUCACCAGCCGGGUAAAGGUCAUAUACAAUUAAAGUAAA
rnacentral:rRNA from 1 species